AGUGGGAUUGCUGGGUCAUAUGGUAAGUAUGUGUUUAACUUUAUAAGAAACUGCUAAACUGUUUUCCAGAGUGGCUGUAACAUUUUUGCAUUUUCACCAGCAGU
rnacentral:pre_miRNA from 1 species